GGUUGCUCUGUUCCCUGCUAUUUCUCUCACCGUCAUCAUCGCCGGUCUACAACGGCACCGAUUACAAAGGGGUUUUCUUCUUUCGCCGUUAGGUAUCAACCCCCCACUCUGGUUUCUCUGCCUCUAAUAAUCUUUUCAACAAGAAUUGCUUCGAGACAAAGAUUGCAAAUUCUGUUUUUCUGUUCAGAGAUGAUUGGAAGAGUUAAUGGGGAAGAAAGGGGGUGGAUGGUUUUCUGCAGUGAGGAAGGCAUUUGUCUAUAGUAAUGAUUCAAAGGAAAAUACAGAAUAAAAG